CCCCCCUCCCCACGACCAUCACCCUGAUAACGAUCUGCACCGCGGUCUCAUUAUCCCAGAAAACGUUCGUUGCACAUUCACGCGGCUGUGUGAGAUGUGCAGGGCGGCGCUGUGGUCAUUGUGAUGCACAGCGUGGCCAUCUGCAAGGACUGAAGGACACAACUGGAGGAGACAGACUUCCCACAGAAACAGACACACACAUCGAUACACAUUGACAGGCAUAAACACACAUGAAUGAGCACACACACACACACACACACACACACACACACACUCUGAGCCUUCCACAGACAAUUACGGUAUAAUUAUGGCGCUCGUUAUUUAUCUCUGCAGGAGAUUCACAUGGUUUCUUUGUUCAUAGAACGUUUUUAAAUCCGCAGCUGGAACGGAACAAAGAAAAACAACCCCAAAAAGCCGGGAUUUUUCCCCGAUGAUCAGAGUCAGCUGCACGUACCUGAGAAGCAAAUCAAAACCAUGAGGUGAAAGGACAGAUGUGAAAUGGAUCUUUUUGGAGGAAUGUUUUUCGUGAGAGGGUUUUGUUAGGAGAGGACACACAGACGGCGGUGUGAUGUUCAUCCUGUCACAACUCGGCCGGCGCAGCAUCAGGGCGGCGUAUGAGGGCCAAUGUAGGUGAAAAUAAGGAAAAUAAUAAUAAUAGUUAUGGAGCAUAGGGGAGGGAGAGUGUUAAGACAAAAAAUAGAUACUUAUUUAAGAGCAAUUUCACAACUCUCCUAGAUUAUAACGUCAUAGAUUUCUGAGUCGAAAAAAUGGAUAGCAAAUUAACAAAUUAAAAACACAAAUUUACCAGAUUACGAAAUCAUUCAUUUACAAGAAAAAAAGAACAACAAAAAGUGUCCAAAGCCCUUUUUUAUGAAAGGUUUAGUAUUCCUAUGAAGGAAAACAUUGCUUCAAAGCAACACAAGUAGAAAACACAUAACAAUGUACAGCACUCCCAAAGCAUUCACUUUAUAAUAAUAAAUAAGUAAUCAGAAUUAUUGCCUUGUGUUCUCUUUACAGCGACAGGUGUGUAUUUUUGUCUGUUUUCCCUACAGUUGUAUUUGUAGUCGAUAUAUAUCACAUUCCCAACAAAGCAGUUCGUCAUAGAUGGACAACAAGUAUAUGAAGUACGGGUGAGAAGCCAGCCAGAAAAUUCUUUGUAUAAUCAUAAUGUCUUGAAACGCUCUGUAUGCAUUCAAACAUUUAAAUAUAUUUUAUAUGAAAAAUAAAAUGACAGAAAUGGAAUUGUAAUGAUUGUUAAACCAGAUCUCAGAACAUCUGGUUUCUCAUGUCCUUUGUUUAGUGGACAUUUGCAUUAAACUCAAACCCUCAUCGUGUCAUUUAAAGCCUCAGUGUCCUCGAGAAGCAGCCGGACUUUGACUUUCACUCCUCUGAAACACAACAAUUUCCUUCUGUCAGUCGAGGCGUCAUAACUAUUUUGCCACUACAAAUUGAAUUUACAGCUUUUGUGCCUGUGGUUUUUCUCCAACCGAAGACUUAUUGAAGUGUCACUCUGAGCGGUGCUGUUUCCCAUUUAUCUUUCCAUUUUUCCUGCUGAUAAAUAGUUCUACAUCUAUGUUUUGUUGUGUAGAUUAAAAGUCACAAAAAGAGAAUUCUUGUUGGUUUGGAUUGUUCAUUGUACGGUUGGCUGGUGGGUUGGUUGAGGGGUUUGUUGUAUGGUGAUUGGUCUGUUAGUUUAUUCGUUGGAUUGUUGUAUGGUUGGUUGACGGGUUGUUUAUUUGGUUGAUGGGUUGGUUGGAUUGUUUUGUUGGUUGGAUGGGUUAUUUGGUUGGCUAAGGGAUUGAUCGAUAGUUGAUAGUUGAUAAUUAGUUCAACUUAACUCAAGGCUUAUUAACAUUCUUAAGAAAUAUGGAAACUGAUAACAAGUUUUUUACACGUAAUGAUUUGUGAUCUAACAAUCUCGCAUUGAACAUGUUUAUGAAAGUGUCAUUUUAAUGAUAUAGUGUCAUAUGAUGCUAAUAACCAUUUUAUGGGAUUUAACCUAUCGAUUGAGGUCCAUUACAAGUACCUUAAUGUGAGGUGUUAGUGUCAGUUUGACCGCACUUAUCUUCAUCUGUUGAUAGUCAUCAGAUCUUUUAAACCACCGCAAAUAAAACGUUUACCAAACCCUUUGAAAUUAAAUGAACCUCAGUGUUUGCAAACAUGUUCCUUAACGUCUAGCUGGAUUAACUUUCAAAUCCUAAAGCGUCAACGGUUGUGGGUAAUUCCCUCCAUCGAAGGUUCAGUGAUCUGUUGCAGCCGCUGACGGUUGUCAGGGGUUACAAAGCAGAUCAGAUGAAGGGUGAGAGCUUUAUUCUGCCGGGCCGCUGCCGCUGCAUGUGAAACAAAGGUAUCUUCAAAGGUGGUGCUUUUGAUUUGCUACGCGCGCAGACAACACGAUGCGGGUCAGCCGCUCCGACUCAGCGCAAAGCGACGUCUGAAGACGACAUGCUGGAUGACAGCGGGAGGCGACUGAUGAGUAACAGCCGAGCUAAAGGCCCCGGGUUUCAUCCGCACCGACAGAUUCAGGACGCCAUCUGCAUCGGCGAGGCCAAACAACAAUAACCGCACGUGCUGCGACGGGAUUUAAGAGUUCAGGUUACGCCCGCUGUGAUUAAUAUACAGGAAGUCACUCGUGGUGACACUGAGCUAAGACGGCAAUAACUUCAAAGUUACUGUGUUCAGAAACACAGCAACAAAAAGGAAAAGACUUUGCACAUGUCUUUACUCUUUAUUCUUGAGUGUUCAUUUUAUAUGAAACAAAUAUUUGUGGUUACAUUUUUUGCUCGUGCUUUUUGUUGUCUUCUUUCAUAGUUAGCCGAGUAUCUUUGGUUUUGGAUUGUUAAAAGUGCAAUUGCACAAUUACAAUUGUAAUUUCUGUUCUAUUUUGCACUGGUUCAGAGAGAUAAAGAUAUCUUCUUCUUCUUUCCCUUAUUUUUUCUUUAUUUCUGCAAGGUUUGUGAAACCUGUAUUUGGCCUGUAAAGAAAAAGGUAGCGCCUCUGAAGGCACGGUAUGGCCUCUAAAGGUACGGCCUGUAAAGGUACGGCCCAUAAAGGUACGGCCUCUAAAGGUACGGCCUCUAAAAGUACGGCCUGUAAAGGUACGGCCCAUAAAGGUACGGCCCGUAAAGGUACGGCCUCUAAAGGUACGGCCCAUAAAGGUACGGCCUGUAAAGGUACGGCCUCUAAAGGUACGGCCCAUAAAGGUACGGCCUGUAAAGGUAGGGCCCAUAAAGGUACGGCCCAUAAAGGUACGGCCUGUAAAGGUAGGGCCCAUUAAGGUACGGCCCGUAAAGGUACGGCCUGUAAAGGUAUGGCCCAUAAAGGUAGGGCCCAUAAAGGUACGGCCUCUAAAGGUACGGCCCAGCCAACUUAAUCCCAACGUUCCCUUAAAUGCUGUGAUGCAGGGAGGGGGAUGCGGUGCUUUGCAUUGCAUCAAUGUAUGAAAGGAAGUGAACAAAACACAAGCAAAGCCUGCGGCGUCCAAUCGUCCAACACCCUGGAGACUCAGAGACAUUCAACCAACCGCCUCCGUCUGUCAUGAGACCCGGACAUACCGUCGCGCACUCACAGACACACCCCUGAGCCGGCUAUGUAAUAAUCCAACUCCUCCGACUCGUUAUAUCAGCACCUCCU
ensembl:lncRNA